CCUACGGGAGGCAGCAGUGGGGAAUAUUGCACAAUGGGGGAAACCCUGAUGCAGCGACGCCGCGUGAGUGAAGAAGUAUUUCGGUAUGUAAAGCUCUAUCAGCAGGGAAGAAAAUGACGGUACCUGCUUAAGAAGCCCCGGCUAACUACGUGCCAGCAGCCGCGGUAAUACGUAGGGGGCCAGCGUUAUCCGGAUUUACUGGGCGUAAAGGGGGCGUAGGCGGCAGCAAAAGUCUGGAGUGAAAUGCUUGGGCUUAACACCGGAACUGCUGUGGAAACUGUGCAGCUAGAGUGCGGGGGAGGUAUGUGGAAUGCGUGGUGUAGCGGUGAAAUGCGUAGAUAUUGGGCGGAACACCAGGGGCGAAGGCAGCUUACUGGACUGUAACUGACGUUGAGGCUCGAAAGCGUGGGGAGCAAACAGGAUUAGAUACCCUAGUAGUC
rnacentral:rRNA from 1 species